CUUUAACGGCCGCGGUAUUAUAACCGUGCAAAGGUAGCAUAAUCAUUUGUCUCUUAAAUAGAGACCUGUAUGAAAGGCUAACUGAGGGCGCAACUGUCUCCUGUGGUCAACCAAUGAAACUGAUCUUUCAGUACAAAAGCUGAAAUAAACCCACAAGACAAGAAGACCCUGUGGAGCUUCAAGCUACACCACUAAACAAAUAGCCUUAGCCCACUUCGGGCUUAAACAACACAACCAUAGUGAUAUGCUUUUAGUUGGGGCAACUACGGAGAAAACCAGACCCUCCAUGAAAUUAGGGGUAAAACCCACAAAAGGCCGACACGCCAAUUGGCCCACAAGAUGACCCAGUACAACUGACUAUCGAACCAAGUUACCCCAGGGAUAACAGCGCCAUCUUCUUCAAGAGUCCAUAUCGCCAAGAGGGCUUACGACCUCGAUGUUGGAUCAGGACACCCAAGCAGUGCAGCCGCCGCUAAUGGUUCGUUUGUUCAACGAUUAAAGUCCUA
rnacentral:rRNA from 1 species